UGAGUAACCUGCCCUUAACUCUGGGAUAAGCCUGGGAAACUGGGUCUAAUACCGGAUAUGACUCCUCAUCGCAUGGGUGGGGGGUGGAAAGCUUUAUUGUGGUUUUGGAUGGACUCGCGGCCUAUCAGCUUGUUGGUGAGGUAAUGGCUCACCAAGGCGACGACGGGUAGCCGGCCUGAGGAGGGUGACCGGCCACACGUGGGACUGAGACACGGCCCAGACCUCCGUACGGGAGCAG
rnacentral:rRNA from 1 species